GGCCAAGUUUUUAAGGGCACACGGUGGAUGCCUUGGUACCAGGAACCGAUGAAGGACGUGGGAGGCCGCGAUAGGCCCCGGGGAGCUGUCAACCGAGCUUUGAUCCGGGGGUGUCCGAAUGGGGAAACCCGGCAGUCGUCAUGGGCUGUCACCCAUACCUGAACACAUAGGGUAUGUGGAGGGAACGCGGGGAAGUGAAACAUCUCAGUACCCGCAGGAAGAGAAAACAACCGUGAUUCCGGGAGUAGUGGCGAGCGAAACUGGAUGAGGCUAAACCGUAGGUGUGUGAUACCCGGCAGGGGUUGCGCUUACGGGGUUGUGGGA
rnacentral:rRNA from 1 species